AAGAUUUACUCUGGCUGUGCGCCUUUGGGCUGCACGCCGGAUCACACCCACACACACCUGUGCACACUUCGGUUGCGAAAGGCCUCACGGCCGACUAGCUUCCGCUUUUACACAUUUAACAAGCAUGUCCAGAAUGUAACAACUAUAACAAAUA
rnacentral:misc_RNA from 1 species